GCUGGGCAUGGUGGUGCACGCCUGUAAUCCCAGCUACUCAGGAGGCUGAGGCGGGAGAAUCGCUUGAACCCGGGAGGUGGAGGUUGCAGUGAGCUGAGAUCAUGCCACUGCACUCCAGCCUGGGUGACAGAGGGAGACCCUGUCUCAA
rnacentral:SRP_RNA from 2 species